rnacentral:ncRNA from 1 species
GACAGGGACAGAAGAGGCUGUUGGGCCUUAUAACAGGCAUAUGGUUACGGCUUUGUGCCCUACUUUGUGACAUCUAAUUACAGUUUUUC